AUUGAACGCUGGCGGCAGGCCUAACACAUGCAAGUCGAACGAGUGGCGGACGGGGGAGUAAUGUCUGGGAAACUGUCCGUUGGAGGGGGAUAACUACUGGAAACGGGGUCUAAAACCGCACACCAUCGGAUGUGCCCAGAUGGGAUUAGCUAGUGGGUGGGGUAACGGCUCACCUAGGCGACGAUCCCUAGCUGGUCUGAGAGGAUGACCAGCCACACUGGAACUGAGACACGGUCCAGACUCCUACGGGAGGCAGCAGUGGGGAAUAUUGCACAAUGGGCGCAAGCCUGAUGCAGCCAUGCCGCGUGUAUGAAGAAGGCCUUCGGGUUGUAAAGUACUUUCAGCGGGGAGGCGUUACCCGCAGAAGAAGCACCGGCUAACUCCGUGCCAGCAGCCGCGGUAAUAC
rnacentral:rRNA from 1 species